rnacentral:lncRNA from 1 species
GGCCGGGCCGCGGGGCAGGGACUUCUGCGCGCCGCUGCUCGCCUGGCCCACUGGGCUUUUCGCAUCUGGGGAUCUGGGGCCAGUGGAGGUCAGCCAGGUCCGCGAGCAACCUGUGCUCAGGCCAGCGGAAGCCUGACUCCAGGAUUCGGUGGUGCCACAGACAGUUACUGAACGCCAAUUUUGUGCCUGCUUUAAGCGAACAGGACAGUUCCUGACCCUCAGUUCUUUCCAGGCUCUUCACUACUCUGCCUGCCCUGGAACUUCUCAGAUCACGUCAGCUCCCUCUGCCCAGGGGAAAAGCUACAAAAGGAAGAGUUCCAAGACUGCCAAAUAAAGAUAAACCAAUACGCUUUAAAAAGUAGAAUGUAUUGGUUUAUCAGAUUUGGGGAUGAUGCCUUUCUUCAAACUGCCCUUUCCUGUUUCACCCAAGAGACCUGGUUUCUAGGCCCUUCUCCAGAGUUUGCCCUGUGUCCACAUCCUUCUCACUGUGGUCCUUGCGACUGGACAUUCCCCUUCAGCUGGCUCUUUUUUGGGAGCCCACCUGGCUUAUCCUUCUCUCAUAACGUUUAUUGAACUUUAUUUUACCUGGCCUCCUGUCCAGGCUACAUCUGAGACCAUGCAGGAGCUGUGGAGAUUAACGGUAAAAGGAACAGCACAUUCAAGACUCUUCUAGGAGGUGGGGCAAGAUAGCCAAAUAGAACCCUCCAGUGAUCCUCCUCCUCCUCUUCCCUGGCAGGAACACCAAACUGAACAACUAUCCACACAAGAAAGCACCUUCAUGAGAACCAAAACUCAGGUAGCAAUCACAGUAGCUGGUUGUAACGUCACAUCAAGAUAUAAGGCAAUGGCUGGGUGCGGUGGCUCACACCUGUAAUCCCAGUGCUUUGGGAGGCUGAGGCGGGCAGACCACCUGAGGUCAGGAGUUUGAGACCUAGCUGGCCAACAUAGUGAAACCCUGUCUCUACUAAAAAUACAAAAAUCAGCCGAGUAUGGCAGUGCACACCUGUAGUCCCAGCUACUCCGGAGGCUAAGGCAGGAGAAUUGUUUGAACCCGGGAGGUGGAGGUUGUAGUGAGCUGAGAUCAUGCCAUUGCACUCUAGCCUGGGUGACAGAGUGAGACUCUAUCUCAUAAAAGAAGAAAAAAAAAGGAACAAGGCAAUGAAGAGGGUAGGAAAGACAGUCUUGAAUUGCUACCACCACCCCUCCCUCAUCCUCUGGCAGCACCUGGCUGCCUGGCAUAGAGAGAGAAUCUGUGUGCUUAUGGGACUUUGCAUUGGAACUGAGUUUUGCCCUGUCACAGUGGAAAGCAACUCAGGGCAGAAUUCAGCUAGUGCCCACAGAGGAAGCACUUAGAGAAACCCUAGCCAGAGGGGAAUCAUCCAUCCCAGUGGUCAGGUUCUGGCGAGCCCCACCACCACUGGCUAAAGUGCUUCAGGGUCCUAAAUAAAUUCGAAAGGCAGUCUAGGCCACAAAGACUGCAAUUCCUGGGCAAGUCCUGGUGCUGUGCUGAGCUCAGAGCCCGUGGACUUGGGGUGCACACAGCCUAGUGAGAUACCAGUUGGGGAGCCAAAGGAGUGUUUAUGUCACCAGUCCCCCAACCCCAGGCAGCACAGCUCACGGCUCCAGGAGAGACUCCUUUCCCUUAGAGGAAAGGAGAGGGGAAAGUAAAGAGGACUUUGUCUUACAGCUUGGAUACCAUCCCAGCCACAGUAGAAUAAAACACCACGCAGAGUCCCGAAGCCCCCUUGCCAGGCUCUAUCUCCCAGAUAUUUCUAGAGCUACCAUGGGCCAGAAGGGAACCCGCUGCUUUGAAGGAAAGGACCCAGUCCUGGCAGGAUUCAUCACCUGCUGACUAAAGAGCUGUUGGGCCUUGAAUAAACAUUUGUAAUAGCCACAGUACUGGGUGAGGCCCAGUACUGUGCUGCCUUCAGGUGUGACCCAGUGCCUUCCCAGUAAUGGUUGCCACAGGGAGAGACUCCUUCUGCUUAAGGAAAAGAGAGGAAAGAGUUAAAAAGGAGUUGGUCUUGCAACUUGGGUACCAGCUCAGCCACAGUAAAAUAAAGCACCAAGUAGGUUUCUAAAGCCCGGACUCCAUGCCCUAGCUCCUGGACAGCAUUUCUAAACCCACCCUGGGCCAGAAGGGAACCUGCCACCCCAAAGGGUAAGACACAAGCCUGGCUGGAUUCACCACCUGCUGACUAAAGAGCCUUUGGGCUUUGAAUAAACAUCAGCAAUAACCAGGCAAUAGUCACCAUGGGCCUUGGGCAAGACCCACUACUGUGCUGGCUUCAGGUUUGACACAGCACAGUUCCAGCAGUGGUGGCCACAGGGGUGCUUGUGUCACUCCUCUCCCAACUCCAGGCAGCUCAGCAUGGAGAGAGAGACUCCAUUUAUUUGGGAGAAAGUAAGGGAAGAUAACAAGAGACUCUGCCUGGUAAUCCAGGGAAUUCUCUCGGAUCUUACCCAAGACCAUCAAGGCAGUACCUCUGAGUCUACAAGAGUCACAGCAUCGCUGGGUUUGGGGUGCCCCCUAAUGCAGUUACAGCUGCAGUGACCAAAUAUUUACAUCACAACACUCAUUUCCCUUUGAGUACUUGGAAAAGCCUUCUGAAGAAGGAUGAGUACAAAUAAGCCCAAACUGUGAAAAUUAUGAUAAAUACCUAAUUAUUCAAUGCUCUGCAUUGACCAACAGUCACAAACAUCAAUACCAUCCAAGAAAACAUGACCUAAUCAAAUGAACUAAAUAAGGCACCAGUGACCAAUCCCAGAGUGACAGAGAUAUGUGACCUUUCAGAGAAUUCACUGUCACUGAGAAAGCUCAGUGAAAUUCAAGAUAGCACAGAGAAGGAACUCAGAAUCCUGCCAGAUAAACUUAACAAAGAGAUGGAAAAAGGAACUCAGAAUCCUGCCAGAUAAAUUUGACAAAGAGAUGGAAAUAAUUUUAAAAAUUAAAUAGAAAUUCUGGAGCUGAUAAAUUCAACUGAUACACCAAAGAAUGCACCAGGGUCUCUAAACAUGAGAACUGAUCAAGCAGAAGAAAGAAUUAGUGAGCUUGAAGGCAGGCUGUUUGAAAAUACACAGAAGAAUUGAAAGAAAAAAUAACAAAAAAGGAUGAAGUAUGCCUACAAUAUCUAGACAAUGGCCACAAAUGGGCAAAUCUAAGAGUUAUUGGCCUUAAAGAGAAGGUAGAGAGAAAUUAGGAUAGAAAGUUUAUUCAAAGGAAGAAUAACGGAACUUUCCAAACCUAGAGAAAUAUAUAAAUAUUCAAGUACAAGAAAGUUAUAGAAUACCAAGCAGAUUUAACCCAAAUAAGACUACCUCAUGUCAUUUAAUAAUCAGACUCCCAAAGAUCAAAGAUAAAGAAAGGAUCCUAAAAGCAGCAAGAAAAAAGAAACAAAUAACACACAAAGAAGCUCCAAUGGGUCUGGCAGCAGGCUUCUCUGUGGAAAGCUUACAGGCCAGGAGAGUGGCAUGACAUUUAAAGUACUGAAGAAAAAAAACAUUUAUCCUAGAAUAGUAUAUCCAGCAAAAAUGUCCUUUAAACAUGAAGGAAAAAUAAAGAUUUCCUAGACAAACAAAAGCUGAGGGAUUUUGUCAACACACCAGACCUUUCCUUCAAGAAAUGCUAAAGAGUGUUUUUCAGUCUGAAAGAAAAGGAUGUUAAGCAAUGAGAAAUCGUCUGACGGCACAAAACUCAUUGGGAAUGGUAACUACACAGACAAAUGCAAAAGAUUUUAACACUAAUUGUGUGUAAACUACUCAUAUAUUGAGUAGCAAGACUAAAAGAUGAACCUAUCAAAAAUAAUAACUUUUCAAAACAUAGACAGUAUAAGAUAUAAAUAGGGGCCAGGCACGGUGGCUUAUGCCCAUAAUCCCAGCACUUUGGGAGGCCGAGGCAGGUGGAUCGCUUGAGCUCAGGAGUUCAGGGGCAACAUGGUGAAACCACAUC